UUUCAUCUUCUCCUCUCUCUUAUAUGUUCUUCAGUGGCUUUGGGUGCAGCCCUAGUUUCUUGUUGCGUAGAGACUUUCUUAGAAAUCGAAAGGGUCUUAAAAGCAUUUAGGAACAAGAAUGGGGAUGGCGAUACCUUUACAUAUGGUUGUUGGUUAUGACUAUGAGCGUCUGUUGAUUUGGCUAUUUAGAUUUGCUACUCUAGUGUUAUUAUGCACAUCUGUUGAUACAUAAAUUGGAGAAAGUCUAUGCGUUUAUGAGAUUACAUCCAUUUAGGGGUGUAAAGUCAAUUUAUUGAAAUCCUGAUCCCUGUCUUGAAAAUGAUGAGAUCAGAACCUCUGCUUCUCUAAUUAUAUUUGGCAGAAUGGUUUGGUUUGUACUGUAUAUCCAAUUUCAUAAUUUUGACUUUACACCCCUAAAUGGAUGUAAUCUUUUCUUGCAGUUAUGCUGAUGCAAGUGGAGCUGGCAAUGAUGUUUAUGAAUUUUCUUAAAAGCAUUUAGGAACAACAAUUGGGAUGGCGACACCUAUCGGAAAUUGUAUCACACGCCGGAAAUUUCAGACGCCGAAAAUUUAGGGCUUCGAUUUGAGAAGGCGCCCCGAUUGCAGGAAACGCCACCGAUUUCAAGACGGCCGCCGCGAUUUCUGGUGACGCCGCCGAUUUCAAGUAGCCUUGUCGCGAUUUGAGAAGACGCCCCCGAUUUCAAGAGAGAGAUGAAUUUCACGCUGUCGUUUUUUGGCUUAGGAGAGAAGAGGAAAUAGAUUUUGUUUUCAAACAUUGCGUUCUGCCCAAUAAUUUCAGAGAUAAGGAAAAAAUAACUCUAGCUAGAUUAAAAGAGUCCACAUGAAUAUGUCAUGUUGUAACUCCGGCAAUCCACGUCAGUUUCUGAUUAUCGGAAAAUUUUAAUAGGAAUGAGUUGGGUAUUGUUUUGAUAUUA